CAUGUGAUCUAUCAAGUCAGCCGCCUAGUCCCAAACCAGAGAGAGAGUGUAGCAACAAAAGUAAGGUUUCUGCAGCCUUGAAAUUCCAUUACCACUUCACUAAGACCUAGCUGACUAACCAUCAAGGAGACUCAGGACUGUGGAACUGAAUUGAUUAUGGACCUAUACUUACAGCUCUCUAUUGCAUGGGUGACCAAAGGAGGCUAGGAAGAAAGGAAAAGUGCAAGAAGCCUUCACUCCACACUGGACCCAGGCAUUUACAAUCCUUAAGGAAUCUAGAACACAAGGACUGCUCCAUUCAGUGCUCUCAGGGGCAACCCCCCCCCAUCCCAAGUAGGAAAGGCUAGAGACCCUCCACUCCAUCAAAUACAGCACCGACCAGACACAGAGGGAGCAUGCGGCAUCCUUCUGAGAGGUAGUACAUGUUCUGGAAGGAUGAAUCCAACUGGAUGAAAAAUGAAAGGCAAAACAGAGCAUCUGAUAAAAGAUUCAAUCACUAAACAAAUUAGACAAGAGUGAUAUAAUUAAUGCAAAUCAACAUGGGUUUAUGAAAACCAGAUCUUGUCAAACUAAUGACUUUUAGUGAGACUACAGGUUUAGUUGAUAAAGAAAUCAAGACUCAGUUGUGUCAAGGUACUGAACAUACACAUCGUAAGAAACUGUCCUUGUCCUGAAGAGCUCACAAUCUAAAUAGACAAGACAACGGAUGGGACAAAGAUAGAUGGGGAACUGAAGUGCAGAGGAAUUAAGUGACUUGCCCAUGAUCACAGGUAAGUCUUCAAUAAUGUUGGGAACUGAACCCACAUCUCCCAGUUCCCCAUCCAGUGUUUUAACUACAGGCGCUUUUCUCUCUGAAAUGUCAAAGGACUAAACAGAAGAAUGCGUGUUGCAAAUGCCAAUUCACAUACGCUAAAAGUAGGACUGUGCUUGCAGACUACACCAGAAAUGUUAUUUAAAUAAGCUAUAUGUGCCAAGUAUCUGUUAUAGUCAGAGAAACACACUGUGCUGAAUCUGCUAACUGGAGAUUGUCCCAAUAUUUUGAGGGUGCUGAUUAAGGCCCCAAUACUGUCUCACAAGCAUAGAAGUGGGAUCAUUGUGGGAUAGGAUCCUAAGCAGAGUCUACUGAAGUGAGAUACAGAGUCCUGAAAUUGACACUGGCAGUUAUAAUUCACAGGAAUUACAUUGUUUUGUUUUUAAAGUCACUGAUGAAUUAACAAUGGUGGGCAACCUGCGACCCGCACUGCUUCCCGCAGCUCCCAUUGGCCAGGAACGCUGAACCGCCCAUCCCCGGCUGAGUAGAUGCUGUGCUGCAUCAUUGUUUAAAAACAGAUUAAAAUGUUUACUGUGUUAGAAAAUAAUUUUGUCAUUCAUACAUACAAUAAAUAGAUACACAUGUUUUCACUUACAUAAGUUUUUAAUUCACCGAAUAAAGAUGACAUUUCCUCCAGAAAAUAAUUGACUGUAGUUUUAAUGGGUGGUCUAAAUGACCACCAGUUAAACAGCUAGACCUAAUGAAGAAAUGUGCUGAAAGCUGAUACCUUUGUAACUAAAUAGUUACUGGAAAUAAACACAUAUGUGGUUUGUUGAUUGCAGUCAAAGAGGAAAGUUAACUCAGUUUUCCCCCCCCACUUGCUAUUCUAUUUACUGACUGGUGCCUAAUCACAAGAGAUCUUCAUAAAUCACGCUGCAUUGACCAGUAACAGAAACCCCAUGUCUGGGGCACAGUACUAUAGUGUUUUUAGACUGCCUGGAGCAUACUUACCAACAAGCAAUGUUGUGUGUCACCAUAUCUGUAUUUCAUAACAAGGUCCUUCCCGAAGAACAAGCACCCACCUCAAGUUAUGGAUCACCUCCAUUGUCAUUCCAUAGCAAUGUGUUUUACAGAUGUCUGUAAAUGAAUUCUAGGCUAUAAUUCCUUUUGCUUCUGAACCAUGAGGAAGUAUGACAUGCUGCCUGUCUGGUAUUUAUAUAUUAAAUUGCAUUUGAAGAGUGUUUAGAAGAGAAUUCCCUUGAAUUCUUUUCAAAGCUACAAAAAACUUUCUGACUACUGUAAAAAGCAACAGAGGGUCCUGUGGCACCUUU